rnacentral:sRNA from 1 species
UUGAUAAAAAUAAACAAACCUGGGAGUGAAGUGCACUUGUAAUCUAUGAAAGGGAAAAUAGCCAAGAUAACUUCCUUCACACGUAAUCAUUCUUUAACACCGAAAAACAAAACGAAAUCAAAUUUCUUAUGGAGAUUUUAUAAUCACAAAUGGUGACAUCUUUUUUUCCAUUCGGCAGUCACUCGGAAUACCUCGCACAAUUUUUCAACUUUAUCAUCCGGGUCUGUUGCAGAAAAGAAAUCCAAGUAGAGAUAACUUUUUUCGCCGUGUAAUUAGCUAGAUGGGUGUUUAAAAGAAGAAAUCUUAAAAAGUCUCAUGGUAUUGAGUGAACAUCGAUCGAACCCCUAGGAAUUUAAAAAUAUCAAGUAAUUAAGCAAAAUGUGAAUCGAGGAUAUCUUGGGACAGCGUAUAGAAACUAGGGUGGGAUGCUGCCAAUUUAUUUUUCUUAAUAAAUCUGUAGGUUUAGUCUUUCUUUUUCCCUCGCACUGGUUCUUAGACCUAGCUUCGCUCAGAUAUCUCUGGAUUAAUAAACAAUAUCUGGAUAUCUUUUCAUUUCGACAAUUUAUUGUUAUUCAAUAUUUGUUAGAUUAAAUGCACCUCCUCCAUUAAGUAAAAUAUUUAUCUUUACAAAAAAUGUACCGAGAAAAAGGCAUUAAGAAGGAAUAAAAUAAAUAUAUAAAACGAUCUGUAUUAUAAACAAGCAAAAAUACUUGACGGUCAUGAUAUUUAAAACAACAUAUGACGGUUUCUAUAUUAACAUACUGUCUUUAUGUUCCGUUAUAAUUUAUUUAAAACAUUUUCAAAAAAUCUUUGUCUGGAUACUGUAAAAAAAAUUCUAUGUAUAUUAAAAAGCGUCUCUUGACAUUAUACAUUUUCCCAAGUCAAGGGUUUCUGAUUCGCACUGCCCUACAUAAACCCUUGACCGAAUAGGCAUAGUUUGACGGGGUUAGAAUCCUCGCACGCUGGUUGGUGUCAUACAAGUUUGCAUGAUCAAAUAAGAAACGUUGUUUCUAUAAUGAUGUUAGUUGUCAAUUGAUCAAUGUUGAACCAUUGUCAAAUAAAUUUGAGACGG